UGGGGGGGCUUACGGGAGGCAGCAGUGGGGAAUAUUGCACAAUGGGCGAAAGCCUGAUGCAGCGACGCCGCGUGAGGGAUGACGGCCUUCGGGUUGUAAACCUCUUUCAGCAGGGAAGAAGCGCAAGUGACGGUACCUGCAGAAGAAGCGCCGGCUAACUACGUGCCAGCAGCCGCGGUAAUACGUAGGGCGCAAGCGUUGUCCGGAAUUAUUGGGCGUAAAGAGCUCGUAGGCGGCUUGUCGCGUCGGAUGUGAAAGCCCGGGGCUUAACCCCGGGUCUGCAUUCGAUACGGGCAGGCUAGAGUGUGGUAGGGGAGAUCGGAAUUCCUGGUGUAGCGGUGAAAUGCGCAGAUAUCAGGAGGAACACCGGUGGCGAAGGCGGAUCUCUGGGCCAUUACUGACGCUGAGGAGCGAAAGCGUGGGGAGCGAACAGGAUUAGAUACCCUGGUAGUCCACGCCGUAAACGUUGGGAACUAGGUGUUGGCGACAUUCCACGUCGUCGGUGCCGCAGCUAACGCAUUAAGUCCCCUGCCUGCGA
rnacentral:rRNA from 1 species